rnacentral:rRNA from 1 species
GAUGAACGCUGGCGGCGUGCUUAACACAUGCAAGUCGAACGGAAAGGCCCUUGCUUGCAGGGGUACUCGAGUGGCGAACGGGUGAGUAACACGUGGGUGAUCUGCCCUGCACUUCGGGAUAAGCCUGGGAAACUGGGUCUAAUACCGGAUAGGACCAUCGUUUAGUGUCGGUGGUGGAAAGUUUUUUCGGUGUGGGAUGAGCUCGCGGCCUAUCAGCUUGUUGGUGGGGUAAUGGCCUACCAAGGCGUCGACGGGUAGCCGGCCUGAGAGGGUGUACGGCCACAUUGGGACUGAGAUACGGCCCAGACUCCUACGGGAGGCAGCAGUGGGGAAUAUUGCACAAUGGGCGCAAGCCUGAUGCAGCGACGCCGCGUGGGGGAUGACGGCCUUCGGGUUGUAAACUCCUUUCGUCAGAGACGAAGCGAAAGUGACGGUACCUGGAUAAGAAGCACCGGCUAACUACGUG